UUCCUACGGGGGGCAGCAGUCGGGAAUAUUGCGCAAUGGAGGAAACUCUGACGCAGUGACGCCGCGUAUAGGAAGAAGGUUUUCGGAUUGUAAACUAUUGUCGAUAGGGAAGAAAAAAGACUGUACCUAUCAAGAAAGCUCCGGCUAACUACGUGCCAGCAGCCGCGGUAAUACGUAGGGAGCAAGCGUUAUCCGGAUUUAUUGGGUUUAAAGGGUGCGCAGGCUGUCUGUUAAGUCA
rnacentral:rRNA from 1 species